rnacentral:rRNA from 1 species
GAUGAACGCUGGCGGAAUGCUUAACACAUGCAAGUCAACCUGAAUUUGGGUUUUUAACUUAGGUUUGGGUGGCGGACGGGUGAGUAACGCAUAAAGAAAUUGCCUCCCAGCUAUGGGCAACAGUUGAAAACGAAUGCUAAUACCUAAUAUUAUGAUAAUAGUACAUCCUAUAAUUAUGAAAGCUGUCAGCGCUGUGGGAGAGCUUUGCGUCCCAUUAGCUAGUUGGUGAGGUAACGGCUGACCAAGGCGAUGAUGGGUAGCCGGCCUGAGAGGGUGAUCGGCCACAAGGGGAAUGAGAAGCGGCCCUUACGCAAACGGGGGGAAGCGGUGGGAAAUAUGUGACAAUGGACCGAGAGUCUGAUCCAGCAAUUCUGUGUGCAAGAUGAAGUUUUUGGGAAUGAAAAGUGCUUGCAGUUGGGAAGAAACAAAUGACGGUACCAACAGAAGAAGCGACGGCUAAAUACGUG